AGAGUUUGAUCAUGGCUCAGAGUGAACGCUGGCGGCGUGCCUAAUACAUGCAAGUCGAACGAUGAAGCUUCUAGCUUGCUAGAAGUGGAUUAGUGGCGCACGGGUGAGUAACGCAUAGGUCAUGUGCCUCUUAGUUUGGGAUAGCCAUUGGAAACGAUGAUUAAUACCAGAUACUCCCUACGGGGGAAAGAUUUAUCGCUAAGAGAUCAGCCUAUGUCCUAUCAGCUUGUUGGUAAGGUAAUGGCUUACCAAGGCUAUGACGGGUAUCCGGCCUGAGAGGGUGAACGGACACACUGGAACUGAGACACGGUCCAGACUCCUACGGGAGGCAGCAGUAGGGAAUAUUGCUCAAUGGGGGAAACCCUGAAGCAGCAACGCCGCGUGGAGGAUGAAGGUUUUAGGAUUGUAAACUCCUUUUGUUAGAGAAGAUAAUGACGGUAUCUAACGAAUAAGCACCGGCUAACUCCGUGCCAGCAGCCGCGGUAAUACGGAGGGUGCAAGCGUUACUCGGAAUCACUGGGCGUAAAGAGCGCGUAGGCGGGAUAGUCAGUCAGGUGUGAAAUCCUAUGGCUUAACCAUAGAACUGCAUUUGAAACUACUAUUUUAGAGUGUGGGAGAGGUAGGUGGAAUUCUUGGUGUAGGGGUAAAAUCCGUAGAGAUCAAGAGGAAUACUCAUUGCGAAGGCGACCUGCUGGAACAUUACUGACGCUGAUUGCGCGAAAGCGUGGGGAGCAAACAGGAUUAGAUACCCUGGUAGUCCACGCCCUAAACGAUGGAUGCUAGUUGUUGGAGGGCUUAGUCUCUCCAGUAAUGCAGCUAACGCAUUAAGCAUCCCGCCUGGGGAGUACGGUCGCAAGAUUAAAACUCAAAGGAAUAGACGGGGACCCGCACAAGCGGUGGAGCAUGUGGUUUAAUUCGAAGAUACACGAAGAACCUUACCUAGGCUUGACAUUGAGAGAAUCCGCUAGAAAUAGUGGAGUGUCUAGCUUGCUAGACCUUGAAAACAGGUGCUGCACGGCUGUCGUCAGCUCGUGUCGUGAGAUGUUGGGUUAAGUCCCGCAACGAGCGCAACCCCCUUUCUUAGUUGCUAACAGGUCAUGCUGAGAACUCUAAGGAUACUGCCUCCGUAAGGAGGAGGAAGGUGGGGACGACGUCAAGUCAUCAUGGCCCUUACGCCUAGGGCUACACACGUGCUACAAUGGGGUGCACAAAGAGAAGCAAUACUGCGAAGUGGAGCCAAUCUUCAAAACGCCUCUCAGUUCGGAUUGUAGGCUGCAACUCGCCUGCAUGAAGCUGGAAUCGCUAGUAAUCGCAAAUCAGCCAUGUUGCGGAGAAUACGUUCCCGGGUCUUGUACUCACCGCCCGUCACACCAUGGGAGUUGUGUUGCCUUAAGUCAGGAUACUAA
rnacentral:rRNA from 1 species